CGUAAAGCGAGCGCAGGCGGUUGCUUAGGUCUGAUGUGAAAGCCUUCGGCUUAACCGAAGAAGUGCAUCGGAAACCGGGCGGCUUGAGUGCAGAAGAGGACAGUGGAACUCCAUGUGUAGCGGUGGAAUGCGUAGAUAUAUGGAAGAACACCAGUGGCGAAGGCGGCUGUCUGGUCUGCAACUGACGCUGAGGCUCGAAAGCAUGGGUAGCGAACAGGAUUAGAUACCCUGGUAGUCCAUGCCGUAAACGAUGAGUGCUAGGUGUUGGAGGGUUUCCGCCCUUCAGUGCCGGAGCUAACGCAUUAAGCACUCCGCCUGGGGAGUACGACCGCAAGGUUGAAACUCAAAGGAAUUGACGGGGGCCCGCACAAGCGGUGGAGCAUGUGGUUUAAUUCGAAGCUACGCGAAGAACCUUACCAGGUCUUGACAUCUUGCGCUAACCUUAGAGAUAAGGCGUUCCCUUCGGGGACGCAAUGACAGGUGGUGCAUGGUCGUCGUCAGCUCGUGUCGUGAGAUGUUGGGUUAAGUCCCGCAACGAGCGCAACCCUUGUUACUAGUUGCCAGCAUUAAGUUGGGCACUCUAGUGAGACUGCCGGUGACAAACCGGAGGAAGGUGGGGACGACGUCAGAUCAUCAUGCCCCUUAUGACCUGGGCCACACACGUGCUACAAUGGACGGUACAACGAGUCGCAAGCUCGCGAGAGUAAGCUAAUCUCUUAAAGCCGUUCUCAGUUCGGACUGUAGGCUGCAACUCGCCUACACGAAGUCGGAAUCGCUAGUAAUCGCGGAUCAGCAUGCCGCGGUGAUACGUUCCCGGGC
rnacentral:rRNA from 1 species